CAGGAGCACUGCGGCUGCGGGGGAGGGCCGUCACGUGCGUUUGGAGAACCGGGCGUUCAGUUUGUUUGGUGGCUCUUGAAAGCCUGGUGGAAACCUGGGCGUAACGACCCCACAGUGUGUCCGACCGCUGUGCGGUGCCCAGGACGAACUCAUGUGGAACCAGGCACUUGGCGUGAGACCGGAGGACUCAGCAUACACCAAGCAAUGGACCCCUGAGACAGGCCUCUGGGAAUCCGUGGCCCUCACACUAAUGAACUUAGACUGCCAAACUGGGACAGAAACCAAAAAGCAUGACCCAGACUCAGAAAGAUAUUUUCACACCUAAAAAGUGUGAGACAUAAGUGGAAACCAAAACACAAGGCAUUGAAUCCCCUAAUUAGAGGUUUGUUCAAGAAGAUUUGCUGAAUACUUCUCCCUUCUAGGGUGAAGAGACAGACAAAUACGAUGCUCACUUAACUAAGUGCUGUGAACAAUUAAAAACUGGAGGGAAGGUUUACAGAGUUGUGGGUGAGGACGCUGGAGAAAGACUGAAAUCCAGGGACUGGACCCAGGUGUUGUGUAACCGUUUCCUGCGAGAUUGAAACAUUCUAUCCUGCAGAGAAACUCCUUAAACAGGAAAGUAAACGGCACAAAGGAACUUUGGGAGUCCUUGAAACUGACCAGAUUCACCGGGUUACUCCUUGCUGGAGUAAGCAAUAAAAGUUGAGAAUCCCUGUUCGAUGAACUCCACGGAGCUGCAAAGAAGACUCAGCCAAACUGCUUAGAAGAAGCAGAAAUCAGCCUCCUGCCUCCUGCCUGGAAGAGGUCUAGACCAACUUAAAUAGCUGGAGGACACUCUUCAACUUUGCUGGUAUCCAUACUCAUCUGUAGUGACUAGUGUAUAAAUGUUUUGCCUGGUAUGGGUAGAAGUCAGAAGUUGGUGUUGGAUCCUGGGGUUAUAAAAAGCCAUGUGGGUACCAGAACUGAACCUGGGUCCUCUGCAGGAGCAGCCAGUGCUCUUAAUUGUUGAGCCAUCUCUCCAGCAGCCAAAAGUUGAUGAAUUUUAAGGAUAAAGAACAAACUAAUAAUAUCCUAUCAGAGGAUGAAGCUACUUAUUUGAAAAGCUAAAAACUAGCCCCAGAAUGGUGGUAGAUAUUCAUAAUCCUGCAUGUGUGGAGUCAAAGGACCACAAGUUUAAGUCAUUCUUGACUGCAAAACAAGUUGGAAGACAGUCUGAGCUACAGGAGACCCUGUUUCGAAAACAAAACAAGUACCUAAAUGCCGACCUUCAGAUUUCUUCUCUGUAAUAAUUUUUGUAUGAAUUAAAUGUUAAAGGAAAAUGAAACAAGACUGGC
rnacentral:lncRNA from 1 species